UGCGUGUACAGGUUUCUAGGCUGUAA
rnacentral:piRNA from 1 species